rnacentral:rRNA from 1 species
UACGUAGGAGACGAGCGUUGUCCGGAGUUACUGGGCGUAAAGGGUGCGCAGGCGGCCUGGCGCGUCGCGAGUGAAAUCUCCUGGCUCAACCUGGAGACGCCACCCGAUACUGCUGUGACUCGAGUCCGGUAGGGGAGCGUGGAAUUCCUGGUGUAGCGGUGAAAUGCGCAGAUAUCAGGAGGAACACCAGCGGCGAAGGCGGCGCUCUGGGCCGGAACUGACGCUGAGGAGCGAAAGCGUGGGGAGCGAACAGG